GGGGAAUAUUGCGCAAUGGGGGGAACCCUGACGCAGCAACGCCGCGUGAGUGAAGAAGGUCUUCGGAUCGUAAAGCUCUGUCAUCGGGGACGAAGAAUGACGGUACCCGAAGAGGAAGCCCCGGCUAACUACGUGCCAGCAGCCGCGGUAAUACGUAGGGGGCGAGCGUUGUCCGGAAUUACUGGGCGUAAAGGGUGCGUAGGCGGCCUGAUAAGUCGGGUGUGAAAUACCAGGGCUCAACUCUGGGGGUGCACUUGAAACUGUCGGGCUUGAGUGCAGGAGAGGAAAGCGGAAUUCCUAGUGUAGCGGUGAAAUGCGUAGAUAUUAGGAGGAACACCAGUGGCGAAGGCGGCUUUCUGGACUGUAACUGACGCUGAGGCACGAAAGCGUGGGGAGCGAAC
rnacentral:rRNA from 1 species